UCCGAAUUGGUGUAGUGGCUAACAUUUGACGCUCUCAUGAUACUCAUCAGAAUAUUCGAUUCUUCAUGUGGUGUGCCGUCAAGCCCGGGGUUCGAUUCCCCGAUUCGGAG